UUCCCUUCAAGAAAUUUUGUCGAAUAGUUAGAUACCAAGUCAAUUAUUGUUUUGUCGUUACAAAGAUAAUUUCCCCUCUUUCCUUCAUUUCCUCAUUUCAAUUACUUAUUGAUCGAGCCAGACAAACGAAGUCGUAAAAAAAUACGCCCUUCAUCAAUCACAAUCUCAUAUAAAUGUAAAUUUUUCAGGUAAUACUAGAAAGUUAAAUAUUCGAUGGCUAAAGUAUCAUUGAAGUAGGCAGCGCCAAUACGUGCCGAUAAACAGACAUCGAUGUUGGCUCGAUGGAAUUUCGAUCAAUAUAUAUCGUAGUUGUAGAACCAGCUUUCCCCUUGUUCGCAGGUGCCACGUGAAUCACCAUCACAUGUUUGUGUUGCGGCCUUCUUCAACCAAAACCGGAGCACUUUUCACUAUUAAUUCACAGGUCAAGAAACAUUUGAACAUAUGAAAGCCACGAAUAGGUUUUUGGAGGCUGAUAAGUACGUCUGGACAGUCGUAGGAGCGUCACGUGUCACCACCACAUGUUCCAGAACAUGUAGACUUUACACCACUGCAAACUUGGGUACACAUAAACUAUCACUUUUGCAACAGCUGGUAAUGGAAUAUAUACUCACUGUUUUUUUAGAAGUUACUGCGACCAUUAACAGACUCAAUUUUGACAAAAUAAUUUUCCCUUUAGUAAAGAACAACAGUUGAAUUAAAAGUAAAAUAUUAUGUCACCACGAA